rnacentral:rRNA from 1 species
AUUGAACGCUGGCGGCAGGCCUAACACAUGCAAGUCGAGCGGAUGAAGGGAGCUUGCUCCUGGAUUCAGCGGCGGACGGGUGAGUAAUGCCUAGGAAUCUGCCUGGUAGUGGGGGAUAACGUCCGGAAACGGGCGCUAGUACCGCAUACGUCCUGAGGGAGCAAGUGGGGGAUCUUCGGACCUCACGCUAUCAGAUGAGCCUAGGUCGGAUUAGCUAGUUGGUGGGGUAAAGGCCUACCAAGGCGACGAUCCGUAACUGGUCUGAGAGGAUGAUCAGUCACACUGGAACUGAGACACGGUCCAGACUCCUACGGGAGGCAGCAGUGGGGAAUAUUGGACAAUGGGCGAAAGCCUGAUCCAGCCAUGCCGCGUGUGUGAAGAAGGUCUUCGGAUUGUAAAGCACUUUAAGUUGGGAGGAAGGGCAGUAAGUUAAUACCUUGCUGUUUUGACGUUACCAACAGAAUAAGCACCGGCUAACUUCGUG